rnacentral:rRNA from 1 species
CCUACGGGAGACUGCAGUCGAGAAUCAUUCACAAUGGGGGAAACCCUGAUGGUGCGACGCCGCGUGGGGGAAUGAAGGUCUUCGGAUUGUAAACCCCUGUCAUGUGGGAGCAAAUUAAAAAGAUAGUACCACAAGAGGAAGAGACGACUAACUCUGUGCCAGCAGCCGCGGUAAUACAGAGGUCUCAAGCGUUGUUCGGAAUCACUGGGCGUAAGGCGUGCGUAGGCUGUUUCGUAAGUCGUGUGUGAAAGGCGCGGGCUCAACCCGAGGACGGCACAUGAUACUGCGAGACUAGAGUAAUGGAGGGGGAACCGGAAUUCUCGGUGUAGCAGUGAAAUGCGUAGAUAUCGAGAGGAACACUCGUGGCGAAGGCGGGUUCCUGGACAUUAACUGACGCUGAGGCACGAAGGCCAGGGGAGCGAAAGGGAUUAGAUACCCGAGUAGUC